GUGUGCCCGACUGGGGUAAGUAGACUGUGUGUUCGACUGGGGUAGGUAGACUGUGUGCCCGACUGGGGUAGGUAGACUGUGUGUUCGACUGGGGUAGGUAGACUGUAUGCCCGACUGGGGUAGGUAGUCUGUGGAAUGUUCAAGUAUAGGAGAACGUGGCAUUUUCAUGAGUAAUAUUUUAGCGUAAUUUUCCUGACCCGCAUUGUCCAUGAGGAUAAAAAAGAUUAUGUUUCAAUGGCAUAUUAAAAACCAGAUAUAAUGAAAACAUUGUCAUAUUUUGCACAGUUAUGAAGAAUCUUAAUAUUGUUAAGUCUUUAAAGAAUCAGAAAAGAAUAACACUUUUUAGCAUCAAAGUAUUAUAUAAGGUUUUCGUCGAAAACACUUAAGCGACAGUAAAAUAUCAUUAAAAAUAACAUUUUGUGGUAUUAGAUGUGAGUUUAUUUG